AUCUAGUACAAAAUCUCUUCUAGCAAUAUGGACAGACAAAGUGGCAGGUAUUAAGGGGCCUCUUGACAAGAUACAAGAUGCAGGCUUGAGAGACAUUUUGGAGAGCAAACCAAAUCUACAGAUGUAGUUGUUAGGUGGGCUGAGAGUUGGGGCUGGGUGCUGUGUGAUUGGUUGGAUAUUGGUAAGGAACACUUCCAAUUACCAUCUCUGCUGCCACUUACAUCUUUAUUUAUGUUUUUGCAUCUCAUUAUAUUUGGGUUAAUUGUGAAUUCUAUGAGCAUUCUUCAGAAUGUCCCCCAAAACUAUAUUUCAUUUAUUGUCUUUAGUCCAGAACUGGGCUACUUCCUUCCACAGUAAUACACUUGUCUCCUGUCUGAGACACCAGAUCUUAUCUUCUUCUAACUUUAUCCAUCACAGCCAGAUAAGUUCAAGCUUGUAAAUAUGUACUAAAUACCUUAUUUGGACAGAUCACCUUAUUACCAGGAUUGAGAAUUAAACAAAAAGUUAAAUAUACCUCAGAAGACUCAUUGUUCAUUUCCCAAUUAUAAUUUGAGGCAAGGAGAAGGAUAUUUGCUUAUGAAAACAAAAUACAACCUAUAUUUUAUGCCUUAUGUUACACUAAUCUAGACAUGGCCAAGAGUUAUUUAUCCAAAAGUGUCUAACAAUAAAGAAGUCAGAGUCUUAAACAAGGGGUAGACAUAGGUUUAGGUUAUUGGUGAAUUUGAAGAUCUACCUUUGUCAGCUUUGUUUCCCUGACUGAAAUACCCAAAACAGACAUAAGGAGUCAUCUCCAUUACCCUGGAGUCUGUGACAAGACAGAGCCUUGAGAUAGAAAGCUAAUGGUAGAGAAUAGCUACUCAAUUCUUAGAUGGCAGGAAAAAGAAAAAGGGUACAUGGAAAGGAGGAGAGAGAGAGAGAGAGAAAGAGAGAUAAAGAAAGAGAAACUGACUCCUUAUGGGCAUCCAUUAUCACCAUCAAGGGAUGGACAUACAGACUUCAUUUCUUUUCACCAGGCUGCGCCUCUUAGAGAUUCCACAAGUUCUCAGAAGGGGUAUCAUCUAUCUGGGAAGCAGUCCUUAACAAGGGACCCUUUGGCUACCAUUGGAUACCUGUUAUGUACCAGCUAUCUAAUGCUGGCAGCUGAGGGAAAGACUUGGUGCUAGGAUGCUUGCCUAGCCGAUGAGAGGUCCUGGGCUCAUCCUCAGUUAUCUCCCCCACCAUGGGUACAUUCAUUAGACAGCCUAACUUUUUAAAACUUUAUAUAAAAACAUAACAACUUUCAUUCAAGAAGUUCUGCUAAACUAAGAAAUAUGCAAGAAAUAGAAAACUCACCCUUUUCAAACAUUGUGAUAACUGUUUCAGGCAAAAGUCAUAUUUAGUUGCUAAAAUUAGCUGGUAGCAGAAUGUGUGCAUACUCUUAAAACAACUGCUUACAACGUACUUCCUAAUUUCAUCG
rnacentral:lncRNA from 1 species